UUCUCCCAAUGUUCUCUCCCAGGUUGGCUCUCCCAUCUCCCAGCAGGCCCCUCAUCUAGUCCUACAGCCCCUUGUACAAUGGCUUCCUACCCCUGAAGACGCCAACCAAAUCUGGCACAGGUGCAGGUGAGGACCUCAACCCUCUUAAAAGACCAGCUGAGACCAGCAGACCUGAACCACAUCAUGUUCUAUGGGAGUUUGGAAUCUGAUUCCUUCCUGAUGGAGCAUCCAACACCUUUACUGAGUGUUCAUCUGAGGCUCUCAUUAGCCUGGCUAUCUACUGUAGGGGCUGACUUUUAGAGGUAGGGAACCUGCUGGACCAUCGCACUGGGCAGAGUUGGGCACAGUGACAGCAGAUGCUCGGUAAGUUUCCCUCGCCAGCACUAGCUGCUCUACACACGUGCCCCAAUCCAAACCAGCAAACACUCUGGACAUAGUCCUACAAAGUAAUGAAACCUCCUGUGGAGGGCACCUAAUGAAGCCCCUUCGACUGCCCCCGUAGCCUGCUGCCCUCGCCCUCCAAAGGACAGAAACUGCUGCUCAAAUGUCCACCCCCGUUUCGCAGACCUUGUAGAUCCUGCAAUAACAAUGCAGCCGCGAGCAGGAAAAGCUGUUCCACUGGUGUUGGAUCCAUAGCGCGGCUCUGGCUGGAACAGACAAAGGCAAUGAGCACGCAGAGCUGGCAACCCGUCAGCUGGCGGUGUUGUCAGGCUCAGAACAGUUCCACACAGGGGCCUGGGGAUGACAAACAUGUUCUUCCAGAACUAGCUCCUAGAGCAGCCCAGCGACGUGCUGUGAACCCUGGGAUAUACCCCCCAGAAAUCCUACCCCUAAGCACGUCCGUGCAGUACCACGGCGGACAUGGCUACACCAAUAUGAGGAGGGGAGCUCUACAGGGUGGAGGCCGCUGUUUGCGACACGGAUGGCCUGGAGGAGACCCCCACUGACAACUUCAGCAUCUGUAUGUGGUUCCAUGCGCACCUUAUGGCAAACCUAAUGCUGCUCCCGGUAUGCCAGCAGGAGCUUUGGAGCAGUUAGG
rnacentral:lncRNA from 1 species